rnacentral:rRNA from 1 species
AUUGAACGCUGGCGGCAGGCCUAACACAUGCAAGUCGAACGGUAACAGGAAGAAGCUUGCUUCUUUGCUGACGAGUGGCGGACGGGUGAGUAAUGUCUGGGAAACUGCCUGAUGGAGGGGGAUAACUACUGGAAACGGUAGCUAAUACCGCAUAAUGUCGCAAGACCAAAGAGGGGGACCUUCGGGCCUCUUGCCAUCGGAUGUGCCCAGAUGGGAUUAGCUAGUAGGUGGGGUAACGGCUCACCUAGGCGACGAUCCCUAGCUGGUCUGAGAGGAUGACCAGCCACACUGGAACUGAGACACGGUCCAGACUCCUACGGGAGGCAGCAGUGGGGAAUAUUGCACAAUGGGCGCAAGCCUGAUGCAGCUAUGCCGCGUGUAUGAAGAAGGCCUUCGGGUUGUAAAGUACUUUCAGCGGGGAGGAAGGGAGUAAAGUUAAUACCCUUGCUCAUUGACGUUACCCGCAGAAGAAGCACCGGCUAACUCCGUG